rnacentral:pre_miRNA from 1 species
AGUGCAAUUGCUGGGUCAUAUGGUAAGUCCUUUUAUAAUUUUAUGGGAAACUGCCAAACUAUGUUAUAGAGGGGCUGUACCAUUUUACAUUUCCACCAGCAAU